GAUGAACGCUGGCGGCGUGCCUAACACAUGCAAGUCGAACGAACGGACGAUAAGCUUGUUUCUUUGCUGUUAGCGGCGGACGGGCGAGUAACACGUGGAUCACCUACUUCUAUGACUUGGAUAAUUACGGGAAACCGGAUCUAAUACCGGAUGAUAUUUUGAACCGCAUGGUUCAAAAGAGAUUGACGGCCUUGCUGUCUCUUAUAGCUGGAUCCGCGCUGCAUUAGCUAGUUGGUAAGGUAACGGCCUACCAAGGCGACGAUGCAUAGCCGACCUGAGAGGAUGAUCGGCCACACUGGAACUGAGACACGGUCCAGACUCCUAAGGGAGGCAGCAGUAGGGAAUAUUGGGCAAAGGGCGAAAGCCUGACGGAGCAACGCCGCGUGGGUGAAGAAGGUCUUCGGAUCGGAAAGCUCUGUUAUUGGGGAAGAACAGAUGUAGAAGUAAAUGUGGAUAUCUUGACGGUACCUAAUCAAAAAGCAACGGCUAACUACGUG
rnacentral:rRNA from 1 species